UGGCUCAGGAUGAACGCUGGCGGCGUGCUUAACACAUGCAAGUCGAACGAAUUCUGAUGGAAUGCGGCUUCGGCCAAGUGAAGACAGAAGUGAGUGGCGGACGGGUGAGUAACGCGUGGGUAACCUACCUUACACAGGGGGAUAACGAUUGGAAACGAUCGCUAAUACCGCAUAAGACCACAGUGCCGCAUGGUACAGGGGUAAAAGAUUUAUCGGUGUAAGAUGGACCCGCGUCUGAUUAGGCAGUUGGCGAGGUAACGGCUCACCAAACCUACGAUCAGUAGCCGACCUGAGAGGGUGAUCGGCCACAUUGGGACUGAGACACGGCCCAAACUCCUACGGGAGGCAGCAGUGGGGAAUAUUGCACAAUGGGGGAAACCCUGAUGCAGCCGACGCCGCGUGAGUGAAGAAGUAUUUCGGUAUGUAAAGCUCUAUCAGCAGGGAAGAUAAUGACGGUACCUGACUAAGAAGCACCGGCUAAAUACGUGCCAGCCGCUGC
rnacentral:rRNA from 1 species